CCAGGGAUGUGGGCUUUCCACAGCUCAUCUCACUAUUAGCCUGUUGAGGUCCCAGUAAGUGGCACAGAGAAGUCCCAGGAUGGAUGUGGUCAGUGGUGAGGAGGGCAAUCCAUGCCUGAGGGAAGGUGAGGAGUGAGUAGGUGAAAGGAGGUUAGCACCUGUACCUGGAGGAGAGAACAGCAUGUGCAAAGGCCCUGGGGAGGAAGGGAAGGUGGACCAUGCACCUGGAUCCCAGGGAGCGAUGCUCACAGUGGGAUGAUGGCUACAGAGGCCGGGGCCUGGCCUGGUCGGGCUUAGGACAAGAGGGCCUGGGGGGCCAUGAGGAAGCUUGUCCCACUGUCUUAGGGAGAUGGAGGCCUGGGUUGGGGGUGGCAUGAGAUUCCUGAGAGAGGAGGAGCAGCUGCCCAGGGUUACUCCCUGGACCACCACCGCCUCUGGGCCCAGCCAGGUCUCAUUCUCAAACUGGGAUCCUUCCCACCCUGGGCCACUGCACUGCACUCCCCUCAGCCCACCACAGGGCUGGGUAUUCAGACGGUUGUGCUCCUGGGAGGCUCUGCUGGGCUGUAGGAAAGCAGCCAAGCCUUCUUGGCUUGAGACCCCUGGCAUGGGAACUUGGUGUCUUGCACCUUUUUGCAUGCUGACUAUGACCUUUUGGCUUCUGUGAUGUGGCUUUGUUGGCUGGGCCUGUGGUGGAGGGGGUCCCAGCCUUUGGCUUGACAUGGGGCAGGGGCUCGACCUCUUCAGGCUCGUUUCCCUCUCUGUGACAUGGGGCUGAUGGUGACGGAGUGAUGAUGAAGACCCUCCACCCCACCCAGCAUCUUUGGUGACUUAAAUGUGAUAACCCAUGUGACGUGCUCAGCAGGGGUAGCUGCUCCUGUUAAUAUAACUCAGUUUGGUCCCAUGGUUUAAUGGAGCUGUAUGAUCAGAUAAAGGCAGCCACAGAGCAGUGUGUUCUUACCCACACAAAGCCCAGCCUAGCAUGUAGGGAAUCUUGUUCGAGGUCUCACAGAGAUUGCAGGUCAAAGCCAGUACUAGAAGGCCAGAUGGAAAAAAGCAGGUGACCUGCCCUGAAUCCUCCUUUGGCAAAUGACCCCCAGAUGGGCACAGGUGGCCAUGGCCCUUACCACAUGUUUUGCAGUUUCCCCAAAAGACUGUCAUCAUCAGCCUGGCCUGUGGGCACAGUGACAGGUGUGAAGGUCAAGUGCAAGCCUGGGGCAGUGCUGACUUCAGGGUGCCAAGAUUCAGGGCUGUAAAGUAACUUUCUGGGCUUUGAAGCUCAUGAGUAGCUGAGCUUUGUGCUAGGCCUACCUGAGCCUUGUCCACAAUGGGCUAUGGUGGCCACUUUUUAAAUGUGUUAACAGGGUCCUUUCAUGUGGAUGGACUCACUUUUUAAUGGGCAGUACCCUAUUAGGGGAGUGUUAGGUUGUUUAUAAUUCUUUGCCACUGUAAACAACACAGGGACAGGGCCCUUGUGCUUGUUUUUCUAUGGUUGUGCAGAGCACUCUCUUGAUUAAAUUCCUGUAAGCAGGAUUGCUGAGACAAAGGGCUAUACCUUUAAAUUGCAUCUGUUUUUCUGGAAAUGUUGACAUGCUCCCAGGUUGUCCCCAAAGUGGAAUCAUUAUUUAUCAUUGGCCUUGUCCAGCCUGAGCUCCUCAAAGGCUGAGCAAGUUUGAGGCAUCAUUUUGCAUGCAGGACUAGGCUGGUGUGGCUCGGCCUCUCUCCAGAGUUCUGUCUUCUCCUCUUGGGUGACCAGUGAAAGCUAGGACUGUAAUGGCCAAAGGAUCUAAUCCUACAGGGCACAGUACACUGCACUGGCCAAGAGCUAGAAAGAAAACAUGUGUGCACACCAAGAUGUGGUGAGGAAGAAAGUGCUGCUGGGAGGCCUGUGCGAAGGGCCCUUUCAGGAAGCUUCCUCAGUACUCUAGCUGUGCGACUCUGCAGGCAGACAUGUUGCAAGUAUGGGUACUCCUGGAAUGGUGCGUAAGCAUCUUCUUCUGGGCAUGAUCCUUUUGCAACUUCACUCUACCAAAGUUAUAAAAUGUCUUGUGCAAUUGGCCACAUGCUCAAAAUUACAUGGAAAUCUGUCUUGUCGUAUAAAGCAAUCCGUUUUCUGACCACAAAAUGUAGCAAACUUGUCAAUAGCAGUCUUUGGCUCCUUUUUUUUGUUUUUUUGAAAGAGUCUCACUGUGUCCCUGCAGGCUGGAGUGCAGUGGUGCAAUCUGGGCUCACUGCAACCUCUGCCUCCUGGGUUCAAGAGAUUCUUCUGCCUCAGCCUCCAGAGUAGCUGGGAUUACAGAUGCCUUAUUAUGCCUGGCUAAUUUUUUUGUAUUUUUAGUAGAGACAGGGUUCACCAUGUUGGCCAGGCUGGUUUUGAACUUCUGACCUCAAGUGAUCCACCCACCUCGGCCUCCCAAAGUGCUGGGAUUACAGGCCUGAGCCACUGCACCUGGCCAAUUUUUGACUACUGAUUUGAGAAUUUGAAAUGAGAAUUGUUAGCUGAUGCAACAAAGGGCUAUGGCAAUGAAAGCCACCAGCCAUAACCAGUAGGACGUGGUGGCCCCCAUGUUUGUUACUCCUCUCUCUG
rnacentral:lncRNA from 1 species